rnacentral:rRNA from 1 species
GCUCAUGGCUCAGGAUGAACGCUAGCGGCAGGCUUAACACAUGCAAGUCGAGGGGCAGCAUAAUGGAUAGCAAUAUCUAUGGUGGCGACCGGCGCACGGGUGCGUAACGCGUAUGCAACCUACCUUUAACAGGGGGAUAACACUGAGAAAUUGGUACUAAUACCCCAUAAUAUCAUANAAGGCAUCUUUUAUGGUUGAAAAUUCCGAUGGUUAGAGAUGGGCAUGCGUUG